AAGUCGUAACAAGGUUUCCGUAGGUGAACCUGCGGAAGGAUCAUUAUCGAGUUAGGGUCCUCGUGGCCCAACCUCCAACCCUUGUGUUUAAUCAUACCACGUUGCUUCGGCGGGCCCGUCCUCACGGACCGCCGGAGGGUGUUUGUUCACCCUCUGGCCCGCCGCCCGUCGAUGGCCUAACACAAAAUUCUUUGUCUAAUCUUGAUUGUCUGAGUGAAAAUUUUAAUUAAAGCAAAACUUUCAACAACGGAUCUCUUGGUUCUGGCAUCGAUGAAGAACGCAGCGAAAUGCGAUAAGUAAUGCGAAUUGCAGAAUUUCAGUGAGUCAUCGAAUCUUUGAACGCACAUUGCGCCCUUUGGCAUUCCGAAGGGCAUGCCUGUUCGAGCGUCAUUAACACCCCUCAAGCCUGGCUUGGUGUUGGACUCGUGGUCUGCUGGCCCCUUCGGGGUGCGUGACCGGUCCCAAAAACAAUGACGGCGUCCAGAGGACCCUCAGUGCAACGAGCUUUUCAUCGAGCACGCAUUGAGUUGCAAGGUCUCUCUGGCACGGUCUUGACCUUUUUUACUUCUAAGGUUGACCUCGGAUCAGGUAGGAAUACCCGCUGAACUUAA
rnacentral:rRNA from 1 species